CCGAAUCAAGUGUUGGCUUAAAGAAGGUAACAUCCUGCUUUAUGACGAGAGGUUAAAUUGAGCUGAAUUACGUUCGAAAUGGCAGAAAGUCAGAUUAGCUGAGUUAUGUUUGAAGCGGCGCAGUGCGAGUUGGGUUGAGUCACAAUUGAAACUCGUGUACACUGUAUCCUAUACGAUUUUAGUGAAUUGGUUGUAUCUUCUUAACGGUUCGAGCUUUUGGAAUUAAUGAUUAAUGCCAAUAAUCCAACAAGUGAUAUCAGUGUCAGUUGUGUGGGUUCAAUUUCUACAUUCUGCAACAACAAUAUAGAUGUUCAAAUUAGGCUCAGAAAUGGUGGCUGAAAUAGGCCAAAUUUUUUACCCCGUGAUCAUAGGCCUAGAGACUAAUAAGCUGAAUAUGGAUGCGGUCUAUGUGUCGAGUCAAGUAAAAGCUUGUGAACAUUGCGAAUAAGCUAUUAAAUGCUAUGAGCGCGUCCUUCACUAUUCGCACAUGUUUCUAAAAUAGUUAGUUAGCAAUUAUAAAUAGGAAUAAACAAAAGGAAUAAAAU
rnacentral:lncRNA from 1 species